CUCCUCAAAAUCAGGUGUCGCCAGGAACCGGUGGCUGGAGGAGGGCGGAGGCGCCUGUGUGUCGGUCGGACGUGAAGCACCUGGGCACAACACCUCGCCCGGGGCACGGCAUUGAGUCAUGAAUGCACAGUUGCCUUGGUGUGAGCGUGAUGCAAGGGCAGGAGGGCAGGGGAAGGGGAGGGCCAGGCAGGGGGGGUGAGGGGGCAGGCAGUCACAAGCGGUGGUCUGGUCCCCUUCCCCCCUACCCGGACUAGGUAAGACCGCCCCUCCCUCCACCCUUUUGCUUGCCUCAGUCACACCCAGGCCAAGUUUUUACCUUCCCUGCUGCCCUGUGCGUCCUGCCCGCCUUGCUGCAGUCACGGCUUCGAGAUCAAGAGAGACAACCCUGGAUUUGCUUUAGUAUGUUAAUGGAGUCCUUGGCAUGGGGCGGCGGGUUGGACCAGUUUUCGGCGGGCAGGAGAACAGGACGUCACAGCCAACACACACUACCCAACUCAGAAGCAGCGUCUCCUCUUCGGGUUUCCGCCGUCGCCGCCGCCUCAGCCUCGCCCAGCACACUCCCUCCUCCUGAUGCUGACGCCGAGCUCUCCUGGGACUUCUCGGAUGGCGCUGCACUUCCUCCUCCUGACGCUGAAAUGACUGUUGUACUUGGUGGUCUUACUGAUGGAAUUAUGUUUAUUAUUUUUGAGUGUUACAAUAGAAAGAUA